rnacentral:piRNA from 1 species
UACGAGUAGUGUACAUAUGUGACUUGCUGGU